UACAGAGGGUGCGAGCGUUAAUCGGAAUUACUGGGCGUAAAGGGUGCGUAGGCGGUCGUGCAAGUCGGAUGUGAAAUCUCAGGGCUCAACCCUGAAACUGCAUUCGAUACUGCGUGGCUAGAGUGCUGGAGAGGAGACUGGAAUUUACGGUGUAGCAGUGAAAUGCGUAGAUAUCGUAAGGAAGACCAGUGGCGAAGGCGAGUCUCUGGACAGCAACUGACGCUGAGGCACGAAGGCCAGGGGAGCAAACGGG
rnacentral:rRNA from 1 species